AGCUGUGUCUUGUUUGUAUGAUUAGUCUUGUCUGUAUUUAAGUUCUGGUUUUUCUAUCUGUCUUUGUUGGUUCGUCUUGAGAUAUGGCUUGUUCCUCGUCCAAGGCUCAAAAUCCCACCGAACGACAAUGUCGAACAUGGCCAAGGAAGCAAAUCAAAUCAAGGAAGAGGCGGUUUUUUUUACAAACCCUUUCCUGUUUUGCUGCAGCAGAGGUGCUGGAGGUAAGCAGCAGCGUUGGACUGGACUGAUGGGAACUGAUGCUGCAACAUCUGAAUCACCUCUGGAAGCUCUGGAUCCCUCCAGCCAAACUCCCUGAAGAGACACAAGGAAAAGACAGUGUUGUGAAAUGUGCAGAGAUAUAAUAGUGUGUGUGUAUGCAUGUAGAUGAACCUGUUAGGCAAAUUUUCUAGCUAGUGGAUGCCUGAUUUAAAAUGCUCACCAAAGAAAUAGACAGAAAGAGAGAGGAGAUUUCUGGUUGGAGCAGAGUAAAACUAAUAGGAAGGAAAACAACAACAAAGAAAAAAUAAAUACUUAUUGAAUACACAGAUUUGUACUGGACUGAGAGAAGUAACUCAAUGUCUUGUCUUUUUAGGCCAAACCAACAGCUGUGUUUGGGCCUUUCCCUGUUUCAACAUGACAAUGUCGCCAUAUGCAAAGCCUGCUCCAUAUGGUUUUCCAAUUACUGUAUAUAGUAGUUGAGUGUUGAAGGACUGGCCUGUCCUGAUUUGAACCCUCAUCCAACACCUUUGGGAUGAACUGGAAUGCUGACUGGAAGCAAGGCCUUAUCAUCCAACAUCACUAAUGCUCUUACCGGGGUUAUAAAGCCUUUUCAGGGAAAUAACAGUGCCAAGGAAACUGAAACCAGUUCUGUUCUACAAGUUAGAAAAACUCUUUGAAAAUCUAAUCAACAUUUGUUGAUAUGCCAAUAACUCAAAAUACAGUUUUGGAACACUUCAUAUGUUUUCAUAUAUAUUUAAAACAAACAAAAUGAACCUUUAUUUCAUAUUUCUAGUAUAGCGAUCUUACACAAAUACAAUUUCCCAAAAGCUCUUAAGGGUCACAGUUUCACAUUA